AAUCCAUCCCGAGCGGCCGAGAGACCUGGCUCUAUGACGCCGCAGCAACCACCUGGAACAGGCAGGUGCUAACGCCAGGAGCGAUGGAGU
rnacentral:ncRNA from 1 species